UUGUGAUCAUAUGAUGUACAAUAAAUCUUCAAUAAAGCUUUACUUUUAUGUAAUAAUUUCCCCCAUUAUCUUAACACUGAUCUUCAAGACUUUAGGUGAAUUUGUUCCACUAUCCUGCACUACUUCUAUUAGAUUUUACACAUCGUCCAUGGGGGUUUUACCAUAGUGUUUGAAAAAUGUCAACAAAUAAAGAACCUUAUGACAUAAAUAAUGCGUGUUAUUAAAAUAAAGCUGGUAGGGAGUACAUUACUGUGUGUGAUUUAUUUUAAUUUCCUAAAGUUAAAAGCAAAUAUACCAGCCAUUUAUAAAGUUCUGCUCAGCAAGAGUACAUAUUUAAAAGUCAUGUUGUCCCAAGGAUUGACACCGUUUACAACUUCUGAUGAUCAAGCUUUAUGGCAUAACUGCAAGACCACAAUCACUAGCAGACACUAUCAACAUGCAAAAUCAGAAUAGUCUACCAUAUGCAUAAAUUCUGUAUCUUUUAUAACAGAUAAAGAUUAUGAGAAUGAACUUGACUUCAGAAGGAUCUGUGCACCAUGACGAUGCUUUGCAUUUAUUGGUGACUGAAAGAACCUAAACAUUCUACGGUUGCAGGCAGCUCUCCAAAUGUGGUCUUGUGCAGCGUUUGAACCAUAUAAAUGCAGUCACUUAUGACCUCUGCUUUGGAAAACAUCUUAUUUGGAGACUUGUGUCUUAGUUUGAAGAAUUUGGCCCGUUGCUGAUUUAAAUACAUGUACUACAGUGGGGCCCUGGUGAUCGGGAUGCCAUUAAUCCAGAUACUUUACCUUUCAGACAAUUUUUUGUGGAACACGGAAGUUUUAUACAUUUUUUUGCAUUGUUAAUCUGGAAAUUCAUGUUCAAGAUCUGGCAUUACUGCAAAACAUUCACAUGCAUUGAAAAUUGUAUCAUUAAUUCGGACAGCAAUUUUUUUGGACGGUCAGUGUCAGACAAUUUUAACAAGGUAUCAAUUGUAAAGAAAACAUAAGCAAUGUUUCUGAUUAAAACAAUAUAUCAGUGUCCUGUCACCACUUCCCCAAUUUUAAUAGGUGGUUGCCUCCUCUAUGCAUGUGACAUGUCAUUUGAACAGCACAUGCUGAUAGAGACAUUGUAUUGCCAAUUUUUGCAAUGCAGCACGUACAAAUUUGCAGUAUAUUUUUUAAUCAUUUAGAUCUACAGGCCAUUAAUAGAUUUGACAUCAUACUGUGUGGACACAGUUUUUUGAAUUGCUACACAUAUCAGAUGUACCUCAUUGUGAGUUAAUAUCAGCUUGCUCCAAUUAAAAGAGACUCAGUGUUUAUAAAUGAGAAUUAUUCUAGACUAGCUGCAAAAAUGUGGUUUCUUAUUUAAGACUGUUGAUUCAAGUAAAACAUAUUUAGCAAGUUUUAACAAUGAUCAGAUCAGUUAUUUUCAUGUAUAAAAUGUCACAUAUGCUUCGUAUUUAGAUAUUUUAUUGAAAAUAAAUAUUAACGGCAAA